rnacentral:rRNA from 1 species
UACGUAGGGCGCAAGCGUUGUCCGGAUUCACUGGGUGUAAAGGGUGCGCAGGCGGACUGGCAAGUCAGGGGUGAAAUCUCACAGCUCAACUGUGAAACUGCCUUUGAUACUGAAGAUCUUGAGUUCGGGAGAGGUGAGUGGAACUGCGAGUGUAGAGGUGAAAUUCGUAGAUAUUCGCAAGAACACCAGUGGCGAAGGCGGCUCACUGGCCCGAUACUGACGCUGAGGCACGAAAGCGUGGGGAGCAAACAGG